rnacentral:rRNA from 1 species
AUAUCAAUAAGCGGAGGAAAAGAAACUAACAAGGAUUCCCCUAGUAACUGCGAGUGAAGCGGGAAAAGCUCAAAUUUAAAAUCUGGUGGUCUUUGGCCGUCCGAGUUGUAAUUUAGAGAAGCGUCUUCCGCGCUGGACCGUGCACAAGUCUCCUGGAACGGAGCGUCGUAGAGGGUGAGAAUCCCGUCUUUGGCACGGACACACCAGGGCUUUUGCGAUGCGCUCUCGAAGAGUCGAGUUGUUUGGGAAUGCAGCUCAAAACGGGUGGUGAACUCCAUCUAAAGCUAAAUAUUGGCGAGAGACCGAUAGCGAACAAGUACCGUGAGGGAAAGAUGAAAAGCACUUUGGAAAGAGAGUGAAACAGUACGUGAAAUUGUUGAAAGGGAAACGCUUGAAGUCAGUCGCGUCGUCCGAGACUCAGCCUCGCCUCGGCUUGGCGUACUUCUCGGCCCGACGGGUCAGCAUCGAUUUCGCCUCUCGGAUAAUGGCGAGGGAAAAGUGACACCUUUACGGUGUGUUAUAGUCUCUCGUCGCAUGCGAGGGUCGGGAUCGAGGAACUCAGCACGCGCCCUCGGGCGUCGGGGCUUUCGCCCACGAUACGUGCUUAGGAUGUUGGCGUAAUGGCUUUAAACGA